AUGGCCUCAUUUGGAUUUCCAUCCGUAUCCAUACCCAUUCUCUUCUUGAUCACCCUGUCCACUGUCCUCACAUCUUCUUCUCCCGGUCCAAGCAAGAGCAAUGAUAGCGACACUGAUCUUGCUGCCCUUCUGGCUUUCAAAGGGCAGCUCUCCGACCCUCUCGGCAUCCUUGCCAGAAACUGGACCACCGGCACGAAUUUCUGCCACUAG
rnacentral:rRNA from 1 species